AGCAGCCGCGGUAAUUCCAGCUCCAAUAGCGUAUAUUAAAGUUGUUGCAGUUAAAAAGCUCGUAGUUGAAUUUCGGGGUCAGUGAGUUGGUCGUGCCACUGGUAUGCACUGGCUUUACUGACUCCUCCUUCUUGAAGAACUGUAAUGCUAUUAAUUUAGUGUUGCAGGGAAACAGGACUGUUACUUUGAAAAAAUUAGAGUGUUUAAAGCAGGCUAACGCUUGAAUACAUUAGCAUGGAAUAAUGAAAUAGGACGUUUGAUCCUAUUUUGUUGGUUUCUAGGAUUGACGUAAUGAUUAAUAGGGAUAGUUGGGGGCAUUAGUAUUCAAUUGUCAGAGGUGAAAUUCUUGGAUUUAUUGAAGACUGACUACUGCGAAAGCAUUUGCCAAGGAUGUUUUCAUUAAUCAAGAACGAAAGUUAGGGGAUCGAAGACGAUCAGAUACCGUCGUAGUCUUAACCAUAAACUAUGCCGACUAGGGAUCGGAUGAUGUUAAUUUUUAAUGA
rnacentral:rRNA from 1 species